rnacentral:rRNA from 1 species
GAUGAACGCUGGCGGCGUGCCUAAUACAUGCAAGUCGAGCGAACGGACGAGAAGCUUGCUUUUCUGAUGUUAGCGGCGGACGGGUGAGUAACACGUGGAUAACCUACCUAUAAGACUGGGAUAACUUCGGGAAACCGGAGCUAAUACCGGAUAAUAUUUUGAACCGCAUGGUUCAAAAGUGAAAGACGGUCUUGCUGUCACUUAUAGAUGGAUCCGCGCUGCAUUAGCUAGUUGGUAAGGUAACGGCUUACCAAGGCAACGAUGCAUAGCCGACCUGAGAGGGUGAUCCGCCACACUGGAACUGAGACACGGUCCAGACUCCUACGGGAGGCAGCAGUAGGGAAUCUUCCGCAAUGGGCGAAAGCCUGACGGAGCAACGCCGCGUGAGUGAUGAAGGUCUUCGGAUCGUAAAACUCUGUUAUUAGGGAAGAACAUAUGUGUAAGUAACUGUGCACAUCUUGACGGUACCUAAUCAGAAAGCCACGGCUAACUACGUG